rnacentral:rRNA from 1 species
AGAAUCAACGCUGGCGGCGUGCCUAACACAUGCAAGUCGCACGAGAAAGGGGCUUCGGCUCUGAGUAAAGUGGCGCACGGGUGAGUAACACGUGAAUAAUCUACCUCCGAGUGGGGAAUAACUGAGAGAAAUCUUAGCUAAUACCGCAUAACACUUACGAGUCAAAGCAGCAAUGCGCUUGGAGAGGAGUUCGCGGCCGAUUAGUUAGUUGGCGGGGUAAUGGCCCACCAAGACGAUGAUCGGUAUCCGGCCUGAGAGGGCGCACGGACACACUGGAACUGAAACACGGUCCAGACUCCUACGGGAGGCAGCAGUGGGGAAUUUUGCGCAAUGGGGGAAACCCUGACGCAGCAACGCCGCGUGGAGGAUGAAAUAUCUUGGUAUGUAAACUCCUUUCGAUGGGGAAGAUAAUGACGGUACCCAUAGAAGAAGCCCGGCUAACUUCGCGCCAGCAGCCGC